UACGGGGGGGGCAAGCGUUGUUCGGAAUUACUGGGCGUAAAGGGCGCGUAGGCGGCCUUCUAAGUCAGACGUGAAAUCCCUCGGCUCAACCGAGGAACUGCGUCUGAUACUGGCGAGCUUGAGUGCAGGAGAGGAACGCGGAAUUCCAGGUGUAGCGGUGAAAUGCGUAGAUAUCUGGAGGAACACCGGUGGCGAAGGCGGCGUUCUGGACUGCAACUGACACUGAUGAACGAAAGCCAGGGGAGCAAACGGG
rnacentral:rRNA from 1 species